GGAUUCGAGGGAUCUUCUUCCGGAAACGGUUUCCAAGUAACUGCGGUUAAGAUGACACACCUCGUCCCCGCGAUCAACGUUCAUUUAAACCGUAGUUAGCCUGAGAAAAAGGGCGGCCGAUUAGGGCUUGCUGGGAGAAAACGAAGAAGAGAACCUGGGUUGUCGUUCUUGAUUCGCAUCGAUUUCACCAUCUGAUGAAUUGGGUGUUGCUUUGGUGAUUUGUUCGGAGAUGGAGACCCAGUGGAUGGCCGAAUUCCCGCACGCGGCCACGGACAAGCGCCCGCGGAAGAGGCCCAGGUUCACUUGGGAUGUGCCCCCUCCGAUCCCCCCCGCAAUGGUCUUUCUUCCCGUUCCUGUGACGUUGUACUGCGGAAAGGAAGCUGCCCAUGUAGCUGGUGCCAACCAGUUAUUGCAAUCAUUCUACCAUGGUGGAGUCCCUCGAUAUGCAUCUCCUCCCUGGAGGGGCGACAACAAAGACGGCCAUUAUAUUUUUAGCAUCGGCGAGAAUCUAACACCGAGAUAUAGGAUACUGAACAAAAUGGGUGAAGGAACAUUUGGGCAAGUCUUGGAAUGUUGGGACUUGGAAAAUCAAGAACCAGUUGCUAUCAAAAUUGUGCGUUCGCUUCAGAAAUAUCGUGAUGCUGCAAUGAUCGAAAUUGACGUACUUCAAAGGCUUGCAAAAGCUGACAGAAGUGGCACUCGUUGUGUGCAAAUACGGAAUUGGUUUGACUAUCGUAAUCAUAUAUGUAUAGUCUUUGAGAAGCUUGGACCAAGUUUGUAUGACUUCCUUCGGAAAAAUAGCUACCGCUCUUUCCCCAUUGACUUAGUCCGGGAACUUGGGAGACAGCUUUUGGAGUCUGUAGCAUUUAUGCAUGAGUUGCAGCUAAUUCACACUGACUUGAAGCCAGAGAACAUUCUUCUUGUCUCCUCUGAAUACGUUAAGGUUCCUGAUUACAAGGUUCUGUCAUGGUCAACCAAAAGUGGUUUAUUUUUCAUGAAUCUCCCAAAAACUAGUGCAAUCAAGCUUAUAGACUUUGGAAGUACAACAUUUGAACAUCAGGACCACAGUUACGUGGUCUCAACUAGGCAUUACCGUGCACCUGAGGUUAUUCUUGGGCUUGGGUGGAAUUAUCCCUGUGAUAUGUGGAGCGUGGGUUGCAUUCUUGUUGAACUUUGCUCGGGGGAGGCACUUUUUCAAACCCAUGAAAACUUGGAGCAUUUGGCUAUGAUGGAGAGGGUGUUAGGACCACUUCCUCAGCAUAUGGUCAUCAGAGCUGACCGGCAUGCAGAGAAAUAUUUCAGGCAAGGUAGAGGAGUGCGAUUAGACUGGCCUGAAGGGGCAACCUCAAGGGAAAGUAUUAGAGCAGUUUGGAAAUUGCCUCGUCUUCAGAACUUGGUAAUGCAGCAUGUUGAUCAUUCUGCUGGGGAUUUAAUUGAUCUCCUGCAAGGGCUUCUCCGCUAUGAUCCGACGGAGCGUCUAAAAGCGCAAGAAGCCCUUAGACACCCCUUCUUUACCAGAGUGUGGAGAAGAUGUGGUUAUUCUUUGAACUAAGGGCUUCACCCUUCUUUCUUAAAUCAAGUAUGUAAGUGAAUUAUUAGAAAGAGACACGUGUCUUAGCUGAACCUGCAGACUUCAUGGACAGGAAGUUGCUGCUGUACAGGGAACACAAGUUUCAGUUGUGCAUGUGUCUCCUGUGGUUGCAAUUUAGAGAAGGGACUGGAUGAAAGGUAUGAAAGGAAGUUCUAAUAAUAUGGUCACAUCUUUUUGUGAUCUGAGCAAACUUGAGCUCAGUAUUGCUGGCAUCCUUUUAUCUGAAUAACCAGCCGUUGGCUCAAGGCAGAUGGAAUAUAUUGGUUUCAAGCACAAUAUAAAUAAAUGUGCCUAGAGGCUGGAAUCGCUAGUAUGCUCCUUAUUGAGUAUGAUAUCAUAAUUGUGUUUGCGUUGGCAGCUGGUGUUGAACUAUUCACUUAAUUUUGCGUGGCUACCAUAUAUUUUAUCAUCUUAAUAUUCUAAUUGACAUAUUUUAUUUUGUUCAGUUCAUACAGAAUUUUGUUCUAGUGCUUGUAUAUUCAUACUCAUGCAGGAGCCGCAGCUUGCUGAUGAUUUAGUUCUUGAAGGUAUGUAAUUUAAUACAAUGAUUUAGUUCUUGAAGGUAUGUAAUUUAAUACAAAUUGUUCUUGGUAGAACGAUAAUUUUGCUGCUACUACAGAAUUUUUAGUUUGCAUUGUUAAAUUAAAAUGAUCCUCAUCCCGAUACUCUGAUGAGCUACAAGAUCCUUUUUCUUUGUGUUAUACUGGCCCUCCAUCAAAAUGAAGUUUUCACAUAGAACUUGAUUUCUGCUGCUGAGAUUUUUUUAGCAUAAAUAGUAUGUUUUACUCUGAACAUCUUGAGCAAGAACAAGAUGGAAUGAAGACAUUUGCUGUGUUGCCAGCGAUUCGGCCAAGAUGAACUGUUGCACUGUGGCUGGCAUUUGACACUUCACAGGAACAACCCUUGGUUUCGAUUAUUGUCUUGAUGUAAUUGUAGAUGUGAGGAUUUCUCUUUAUGUAAGAGAAGUCUCUUGAAGCCACGCUGGAUAUACCAGGUAAAAGCCUCCUACUUGAUUAAAGAUGUACUUCUUCAACAAAUGAUUUGUACAGCAUUAUGUGGCCUGUGUUUCCUUAGAACUUUCUUUGUCCUCUUAAUUGAACAGAAUUGUGAGACUGACUCAGGUGUUUCAGUGAGGAACCUAAAACUGAAAGCUGUUCACCUUAGAGCUAAAUUUUUAUUUUGAUCAUUUGCCCAUCUUACUCAGGAUUCAUGUUUUAUAUGAAGGCUGAUGAGGAUUUAAUGAUGCAAAUUUGAGCUUCAGAUUCUUUCAGAUGAUGUAGAUGUUUGACAUCCAAAAUCUUCAUGUUUGUAACAGGGGUGGCCUGCUGCCUAAGCAUCUGUGCUUAGGAUGCUGUAAAUUGAAGCAUGAUUCAGAGAAGUUGAAGCGCAGAUGAUCUUAACUCAUCCAUUUAUUUCCAUCAAUCCUAUGGUUGAAGGUUAGCAGCCUUUCACAGAGGUUAUAAUAAUUAUGCUCAGGAAGAAUCACAAAAGUUGCUUGUAAGUGUGGUUCUCUCGAAGUAGCGUGUCAAACUUGGAUAAAGAGAGAGCGAGUACGCCUGUGGUUGGUGGCUCGCUUGUCAAUCGCAUGAUCGAGAUGCAUCAUUUGUCACUGUAAAGUGACUGUAUCUUCCUUUUUCUUCUCCUGAAGUGUUUACGCAGAGAUUCUAAGGUUAGGUUCUAAGAUUGAUUUUUCUUUUUUUCGUAUUUAUUUAUUUAUUAUUUUUAUAAGAAAUAAGGACAUGCAACUCAUCCCUGUAUUAAGUAUAAUUUUUUGUACGACUAGUGACAAGAGACAGGUCAAGAGUUAAUAAUUGCUUCAUGUGAUUGGUCUUAA